UCCGUAGGCGGGCGUCUAAGUCAGUGGUGAAAUCUUACAGCUCAACUGUAAAAUUGCCAUUGAUACUGGAUGUCUUGAAUUAGUGUGAAGUGGUUAGAAUGUGUAGUGUAGCGGUGAAAUGCAUAGAUAUUACACAGAAUACCAAUUGCGAAGGCAGAUCACUAACACUAUAUUGACGCUGAGGGACGAAAGCGUGGGGAGCGAACAAGAUUAGAUACCCUGGUAGUC
rnacentral:rRNA from 1 species